GGGCAGCCGGCUCUCUGGCGCCUUUGGGCGGCGAAGCUGGGAAACGGUUGAGCCAACGCGGGCGAGCUUGUCGAUGCGCUGUGGUUGAAGGUGCUUGUAGCGGUUUGGAGCGUCCCGCCAAGCCGGCCCUCUUUCCGAGCGGAGGAGGGAGCAACGGCAGUCGAAAUUCGAAGCAGGGAGGGAGGAAAGGAAAUCUGAGCGGACCCUUGGCCUCGUGGCCCGCGCCAUUGCUGCCCCCCGGCUCCUCCACGUGCUCCACUACGAUCCUUCAGCGCCUCCGGACGCUUUUUUCCUCGUCAGCCGCAUCCAGCGACGACACCCUGCCUUAGUGACAGGCGCUCCCAGCACAGUGUUUGACUUUAGCCUCUGAUGUGCAUAUGGAUAGCUUCCUGGGAAGGAGCAGAAGUAUCAGUAGAGAGCCAGAGCAGGGUAAAUGAUGGUGUGGAGAUGUGCCUUGGCCAUUGUUCUGUACCUUUUGACAAGCAGUAGAGAAGAAACCUAGUAACAAAUAUAUGUUCUAGCAUGGAUGCUUUUGCUAAUCACAGUUGUCACCUCCUUCAGCAGCUCCAUGAUCAGCGGAUUCAAGGCCUUCUCUGUGAUUGUAUGUUGGUGGUCAAAGGUGUUUCUUUCAAAGCACAUAAAAAUGUGUUGGCUGCUUUUAGCCAGUAUUUCAGGUAUGUUAGUAAAAAUUAUUUUAAUGAAUAGUGAGUAGUGCAUGGG